CCAAAGUACCUCAUAAACUCCCUUGUGGCUUGUUACAACCUCUUCCCAUUCCUGAGGUCCCAUGGUCCCACUUGUCUAUGGAUUUCAUUGUAGAACUUCCUAGUUCUAAUGGUUAUACCACAAUUCUCAUUAGGCAUGUGCAUGGGGAAAAUAUUCGUCUCGGUUCGGCAUUCCAAAAUUCUGGACUUUUUUCAAUUGGGGACUUCGGCAACUUCGGCACUUUGACACUACGG